rnacentral:rRNA from 1 species
AUGAACGCUGGCGGCGUGCCUAAUCCAUGCAAGUCGAGCGAACGGACGAGAAGCUUGCUUCUCUGAUGUUAGCGGCGGACGGGUGAGUAACACGUGGAUAACCUACCUAUAAGACUGGGAUAACUUCGGGAAACCGGAGCUAAUACCGGAUAAUAUUUUGAACCGCAUGGUUCAAAAGUGAAAGACGGUCUUGCUGUCACUUAUAGAUGGAUCCGCGCUGCAUUAGCUAGUUGGUAAGGUAACGGCUUACCAAGGCAACGAUGCAUAGCCGACCUGAGAGGGUGAUCGGCCACACUGGAACUGAGACACGGUCCAGACUCCUACGGGAGGCAGCAGUAGGGAAUCGUCCGCAAUGGGCGAAAGCCUGACGGAGCAACGCCGCGUGAGUGAUGAAGGUCUUCGGAUCGUAAAACUCUGUUAUUAGGGAAGAACAUAUGUGUAAGUAACUGUGCACAUCUUGACGGUACCUAAUCAGAAAGCCACGGCUAACUACGUG